UACGGAGGGUCCAAGCGUUAUCCGGAAUCAUUGGGCGUAAAGAGCGUGUAGGCGGCCCGGUCAGUCCGCCGUGAAAGUCCAGGGCUCAACCCUGGAAUGCCGGUGGAUACUGCCGGGCUGGAGUCCGGAAGAGGCGAGUGGAAUUCCUGGUGUAGCGGUGAAAUGCGCAGAUAUCAGGAGGAACACCGAUGGCGAAGGCAGCUCGCUGGGACGGUACUGACGCUGAGACGCGAAAGCGUGGGGAGCAAACAGG
rnacentral:rRNA from 1 species